GUUCCUAAACACCUUCACAUAAUUAGCUGUGCAGGUCAAUGGGCCCUUUGUGGUUAGAAGCUGAGAAUCGUACAGCUGCUCUCCUUUGCAGAAAGAGGAAACAUGCUUCCAACUCAAACAACACUGAUUCUGAGAGGCAAAAAUCACUCGCAGCCACCCCUCCCCAGUUUACUUCAGGUGACUCAUUCUGCACUUGCUGGAUGGCUUGUGACUCACUACAUUGUUAGACAUGUCAGUGUGAUGGAAAAUGAUCUGCUUGAGCUCUGA